CGAAGAUUUCAGGGAGAGUCCCAAGAAUCCUGGGCCUGGCCUUCCUCCAGCUCCAGGGAAGCCAUCGGUUCCCCAACCAGUCCAGCUGGCACAGGACACAGCUUCCCUUAUUCAUUUGCUGCAUUUUUACCUGGAGUCUUGUCAGAUAAAACAAGAGAAAAGGCUUCGUUCAUCAUCGGCCAACAAAAGUUUGGAGUUAAGUGCCCAAGUUCUAAAAGCAAACCAACAGUGGAGAUGAAAAUGAGAAUAAUAAAUGUAACUAAAGACAAUGAGAGUUUUGAUUUAUGUGUGAAGAUAUACAUUAAGUGUAUCUCAUCAAACAAUAAAUAAGACCCAAAGAUGAGAGAGACAGAGAGGGAGAGAGAGAGAGAGAGAGAGCGACAGACAGAC
rnacentral:lncRNA from 1 species